GUGACAUGGGACUUUGAAACGUAUUAGUUAUCCCGGCAAGCCUUGCACUUUCUUUUCUUUUAACCGAUUAUCCCGAGCAAGAUGUCUAAGCGAGGACGCGGUGGUUCCUCUGGUGCGAAAUUUCGCAUUUCACUUGGACUCCCAGUGGGAGCUGUGAUCAACUGUGCAGAUAAUACAGUUCAGAAUCCAAGAGGAGAGAACUCUAACUUUAUCCCUGUCCAGUUCAGCUGAAAAAAAAAAACAAUCCUAGUAAGUUCAGUUGUGAGCCAUAACAGUCAUAUUAAAAGAACAAGUGGUGCAAACUAGAAGCAAUGGGUUUUCCCUCCAAAAAGCACUUGUUGGGUCUGUUUUCCAAUGGCCCAGGGAGUUGUCGUGGAAGGGUAAAGAAACAGCAUUACUUUUGGGUGAGGUUACAGCUUGUGCUGUUGUUCCUCAAUCGGUGAUGCAACAAAAAUUUUCAGAAGUCUUUUAUAUCUUUGAUACAAAGUUUUUGUUAACAGCAAUAACUCCUUUUUUCACAGG
rnacentral:lncRNA from 1 species